rnacentral:rRNA from 1 species
GACCUCGCGUUAUUGGAGCGGCCGAUGCCGGAUUAGCUAGUUGUGGGGUAAAGGCCCACCAAGGCGACGAUCCGUAGCUGGUCUGAGAGGACGACCAGCCACACUGGGANUGAGACACGGCCCAGACUCCUACGGGAGGCAGCAGUGGGGAAUUUUGGACAAUGGGGGAAACCCUGAUCCAGCCAUUCCGCGUGAGUGAAGAAGGCCUUCGGGUUGUAAAGCUCUUUCGCAAGGAAAGAAAACUUAUCUACUAAUACUAGGUGAGGUUGACGGUACCUUGAUAAGAAGCACCGGCUAACUACGUGCCAGCAGCCGCGGUAAUACGUAGGGUGCGAGCGUUAAUCGGAAUUACUGGGCGUAAAGCGUGCGCAGGCGGCUUUGUAAGUCAGAUGUGAAAUCCCCGAGCUCAACUUGGGAACUGCGUUUGAAACUACAAGGCUAGAAUAUGUCAGAGGGGGGUAGAAUUCCACGUGUAGCAGUGAAAUGCGUAGAGAUGUGGAGGAAUACCAAUGGCGAAGGCAGCCCCCUGGGAUAAUAUUGACGCUCAUGCACGAAAGCGUGGGGAGCAAACAGGAUUCGAUACCCCGGUAGUCCACGCCCUAAACGAUGUCUACUAGUUGUUGGUGGAGUAAAAUCCAUGAGUAAGGCAGCUAACGCGUGAAGUAGUGGG